UACGAAGGGGGCUAGCGUUGCUCGGAAUCACUGGGCGUAAAGGGUGCGUAGGCGGGUCUUUAAGUCAGGGGUGAAAUCCUGGAGCUCAACUCCAGAACUGCCUUUGAUACUGGAGAGCUUGAGUCCGGGAGAGGUGAGUGGAACUCCGAGUGUAGAGGUGAAAUUCGUAGAUAUUAGGAAGAACACCAGUGGCGAAGGCGGCUCACUGGCCCGGUACUGACGCUGAGGUACGAAAGCGUGGGGAGCAAACAGG
rnacentral:rRNA from 1 species